UCUCUGGUGAAUACCACUCCACCUGC
rnacentral:misc_RNA from 1 species